rnacentral:lncRNA from 1 species
UGGAAGCCUACAGUGGUACACUUCUAAGGUGCUCUGAAUUCUUCUGUGAGGUAGAGAUAAGGAAAUCAUAAAACUUUAUUUUACCACUGGAUACAUCCCAAAGAGGAAGGGUAUCCUUGCCAGUAGUUUUGACUUUGUUCCUUUCACAAAAGGAAAUAGAACCAUCUAUCCCAAAAUGGCAGCCAGAGAGGACCGCAAGAGGCUGCCGGCCUGAAGGAACACUUCAAUCAUGGUUUUCUUCUUCAUAUAAUGAAAAAAAAAAAAAAAACAAAAACAAAAACUUGUACCCAAAGAAAUUGGAGAAGUAAGAACAAGUACACACUUGAAUUGUCCUUAGUGGAUGGGUCACACCUACCUUUGAGAAUUCAAAGCUGUGUUAAAAAUGAGCUGUAAAACACUUCCAGGAAGCACUAGUGAGACCCAAGACGCUGCUAUUUUUUUUUAACCUCUGGAAGACAUUUAAUAAUCCUUCUAGAUGCUUAACCAAACUGAGACUUCAUCAAAAAGAUUCUUGUGUUGGUUCUUUUUUCUCUUUAAAUAGAAAGUUACUCUCCUGACCUGGUAGCUCAUGACUACCGUCUGCAGCUCUUUGGGAGGCUGAGAAAACUGACUCCAAAUUCCAAGGCCAAUCUGAGCUGCAUCAUGAGAUCCUGUCUUAAAACAUGUACCUCCAAAAAAUAACCAAGUCCCAAGUCUGGGCAAAUGGGGCUUGGCCUGUAGAUACUGAUGGUUGCUUGUAUGAAUUGGUGUUGUGGGGAACUGAUGCUUCUGUCCGGCAGGCGUGAGCUUGGAUUCAGGGCUGUGUACUCACUUAUUUGCUUAAAUCGGGACAUCCUUCUACUGUGAGCACAGCAAACAUUGAUAAAUUUCUGUUAGUGUGUAAAUAUGAAUGCUCCACUUGCUGUCAGGAGGCCAUACUUGCCUGAUUCAUGUGUGAAGGGUUUCAUACUUAUUAACAACCAUUACUGCAGGAAGUAUGCUUUCUCACCCAGGACGUUAUAUGUAACUUGUAAGCAUGAUUGCGGGUAAACCUAGCAGACAUAUGAUUCGUAACAACUAUAAACUAUUUUCUAAGGCAAAGGUGACAAUUUGAAAACUACAGGUAAUUGUCAUAUCCCUAGAUCAGAUGACUAAAUGCUGGCAAAAUGUGAUUUUCCCCCCACCCCCAACAAAUAAAAUAGUAAGUUCAAUGCAGAAUCUCCAUGAAAACCUCAACAGUUUCUACUGGAACUGAAAAAUACUUCCCCAAAA